rnacentral:rRNA from 1 species
UACAGACGGUCCAAGCGUUGUUCGGAUUCACUGGGCGUAAAGGGUGCGUAGGCGGUCGGGUAAGUCUGAUGUGAAAUCUCACAGCUUAACUGUGAAAACUGCAUUGGAUACUAUCCGGCUCGAGGAAUGGAGGGAGACUGGAAUACUUGGUGUAGCAGUGAAAUGCGUAGAUAUCAAGUGGAACACCAGUGGCGAAGGCGGUUACCUGGACAGUUACUGACGCUCAGGCACGAAAGCGUGGGGAGCAAAAGGG